rnacentral:lncRNA from 1 species
AAAACUAAAAACUAAAAGUCAACAAAAGGGGCUAAGGGGUUAGGCUACUAUGCUACCUACCCUAAAAAGCUAAGAAAGGUCAUAAAUGCUCUACAUUAUUACUUGUAAUCUUAUCGUAAAAUUUGUACAAUAAAUGGGUCCAAAUAUCUUGUCUUUCGUUGAUUCCGUUGAUGUUGUCGUAUCUGCUCCAUUAUUGCUCCUUAUCUUAUC